rnacentral:rRNA from 1 species
AGUGAACGCUGGCGGCGUGCCUAAUACAUGCAAGUCGAACGAACACACAAUAAGCUUUCUCCUCUAAGGGUAGCGACUGGCGGGUGGGUAACACAUACAUAACCUACCUAUAAUACGUGGGGGACUUCGUAGAACCACUUCUGAUACCACAGAAUAUGUUGUACGGCAGAAUGCAGGAGUUAUUCAGGGCUUGCGUGUCAGUUAGAGCUGACGUCGGAUUAGCUAGUUGGCGUGGUAACGGCUCACCAAGGCAACGAUACGUAGCUGAUCUGAGAGGGUGAUCAGCCACACUGGAACUGAGACACGGUCCAGACUCCUACGGGAGGCAGCAGUAGGGAAUAUUGCGCAAUGGGCGCAAGCUUGAUGGAGCAAUGCCGCGUGAGUGAUGAAGGCCUUCGGAUUGUAAAACUCUGUUAUUAGGGAAGAAAAACUGCGUAAGUAACCCUGGACGUUUUGACGGUACCUAAUCAGAAAGCACCGGCUAACUACGUG